rnacentral:rRNA from 1 species
UACGAAGGGGGCUAGCGUUGUUCGGAAUUACUGGGCGUAAAGCGCGCGCAGGCGGUCCUUCAAGUCAGGGGUGAAAUCCUGGAGCUCAACUCCAGAACUGCCUUUGAUACUGGAGAGCUCGAGUCCGGAAGAGGUGAGUGGAACUCCGAGUGUAGAGGUGAAAUUCGUAGAUAUUCGGAAGAACACCAGUGGCGAAGGCGGCUCUCUGGAACGCAACUGACGCUGAGACGCGAAAGCGUGGGGAGCAAACAGG